UAUCGACUUGUAUUCUCUUCUCGACCAUAUCUAUCUCCCCAGUUGCAUCAGUUUUGUCUGAGAGAGCACCACUUUUGUGUCGAUCUUUUCUAGCGAUGUCGAUUCCUCAGGCCAAGAUGGAGCUUCGUCCUCUGGGAAACACAGGCCUCAAAGUUAGCUCAGUUGGCUUCGGCGCCUCUCCGCUCGGAAGCGUCUUCGGUCCAGUCGCCGAAGUUGAUGCCGUCGCCACCGUACGCGAAGCGUUCCGACAAGGCAUUAACUUCUUCGACACUUCCCCGUAUUAUGGAGGAACACUAUCGGAGAAGAUGCUUGGUAAAGGACUCAAGGCACUACAAGUCCCUAGAAGCGACUACAUUGUUGCAACCAAGUGUGGACGUUACGAAGAAGGUUUCGACUUCAGCGCCGAGAGAGUAACAAAGAGCAUCGACGAGAGCUUGGAGAGGCUUCAGCUAGACUACGUUGACAUACUUCAUUGCCACGACAUUGAGUUCGGGUCUCUUGACCAGAUUGUGAGUGAAACGAUCCCUGCGCUCCAGAAACUGAAACGUGAAGGGAAGACACGGUUCAUCGGUAUCACUGGUCUCCCGUUGGAUAUUUUCACUUAUGUUCUUGAUCGAGUGCCUCCAGGGACGGUCGAUGUGAUACUAUCGUACUGCCAUUACGGUGUGAAUGAUUCGACGUUGGUGGAUUUGAUACCUUACUUGAAAGGGAAAGGUGUGGGUGUGAUUAGUGCUUCUCCGUUAGCAAUGGGUCUUCUUACGGAACAAGGUGGUCCUGAAUGGCAUCCUGCUUCCCCUGAGCUCAAGUCUGCUUGCAAAGCCGCUGCUGCUCAUUGUAAAUCAAAGGGUAAGAAGAUCACAAAGUUGGCGUUGCAGUACAGUUUGGCAAACAAGGAGAUUUCAUCAGUGUUGGUUGGAAUGAGCUCUGUCUCACAGGUAGAAGAAAAUGUUGCAGCAGUUAGAGAGCUUGAAGAUUUGGGUAUGGAUCAAGAAACUCUCUCUGAGGUUGAAGCUAUUCUCGAGCCUGUCAAGAAUCAGACAUGGCCAAGUGGAGUCGAUCAGAAGUAGAAGCUCUUUUGCUGUGUUUGUUCACAUUUACUUCUUGGAAUGCUUUGAUGUGUCGUCGAGCACAUGGUGAGAUUAUGGGGAAGAUAUUACAACACAAAAAAAUAGACUGUAGAAUGUAUGAUAACGAAGUGUGAACAAGUUUUUGAGGAAGUAACCGAAGGAAAACUCUGGAAAGAAGGAAGAGAAUAAUAAAAGAAACUCCAAAACAAAAGCAAACGCUUUGAUUGCAUCACCACCGAUGCUUCCUCUCAUCUCUAGAACCGUGUCGAAUGUUCCAUUCCACCAAAGCAUUUGAUUCCUAAACGUCUUUUAUAUCUCUCUUUUUCUUCGCCGCUUUGUAAAAGUUAACUUUGUGUGUACUUUCAAGAUUAUUCUCAAAUUCUCCUCCACACAUUCUUCUUUCCCAAAACAUACAUUGUUAUUUUUUUUAUCAACUUGUAUAAGAAACAUCCUCGAAGGAAGCUGUGGUCUUUGGCAAAUAUAAACACACAAGCUCAUAUUUGUGCUCUAAAGAUCUUCGUCAGUCUUCUCUCUCUCUCUGUCUACUAUUAUUUUCCUUCGUUUCCCAACGCAAAAUCUACAGUUUAUUAGUCUUUUUCAGUGAUUUGAUCGCUUCUCUAGCAAAAAUAUGAGUGAUCCAAAGUAUGCUUACCCUUACCCUGCACCGGGAAACUACCCUCAUGGCCCGCCGCCUCCAGUUGGAGUACCACCGCAGUACUAUGCUCCACCACCGCCCCCGCCACCGCCGCCAAGAAAGAAACCUGGUUUCCUUGAAGGACUACUUGCGGCUAUGUGUUGUUGCUGCCUUGUGGAUGAAUGUUGCUGCGACCCGACCAUUAUAUGCAUUGAUUGAACUUCUUUAAAAAGAAAUUUAGAUCUCUCUUUGUGUGUGUGUGUUUUUUUUUUUGGUUAUGAUGAGAUUUAUGUAAUAAAAUUUUAUACCCCUUCAAA